AUCUUUCGUUUGAGCUCUCACCGGUUGGAAGAGUCGGGUCACGGGUCAGAAUUAAUGAAGUAUAGCGAGGCAAGCUGUCAUGGAGGAGUCGCAAGGGAGAUUGAGGACAGAGAGGUCGGAAAUGAGUCUGAAAUAGUGGAGCAAUGAACGGUAACCUUUGCAUCAUGGAUGUGCACAUAUUUUUCCACAAGCGAAUCUGAAAAUUCUGUGAGAAGUUGCGGUUCAGUGACAUGAAGGUGACUCCACCCACCUCCCACAACUUAGUAUGGAAAAGUUGAAGUAGGAUUGGUGAGAUGGCUCAGCAGCUGACUUGGAGUACUCUGCGAUACAACACUGCCUGACAGAGGAUACCCAGCUUUAUCCAUGCCCUCAACAAUUAAGACACAGAUUAUGAACUUCCUGGCCCUGCUUUGCACUUGAUUCAAAUACUGGCCUCAGUACAUAGGAUUGGCAUGCAGCGCUUGGAGGUUGUGGAUAGAGGAGAACAUGGGUACAGUGGCACCAGCACUCUUCAGCUUGGUGAUGACCUAUUGUGUUUGGGAGUAUACGUGUGUAUGUUCACCAUGCCAUGUAUGUGGACGUCAGAAGACAGUUCAGAAGAGUUGCUCCUUUCCUUCUAUCUAUUUUGGAUAUUGAACUCUGGUUAUCAGGCUUGGCAGGCUGCUCUCUUAUCCACUGACCCACUUUUCUGGCCAUGGUCUUCUAGUUUAAAAAUGUCUCCAGAUGCCACUGAAGAAUAGAGAGACUGACCUUAGACUUUACUUUCGUCCAUUUAUCUUGUUAGUUCCCACAAUGUUGUGGAUGGACCCUGUUUUCCCACUUGCUAGGCAACAGAUCUACUAUUGAACUCUAGCCCAGCUCCACAUUGGGCAUUUCUCCUAGGCGGACCGUUUCCUGCAUUGAAUAAGUAGACACAUUGGAUAUAGAAAUCACUGGCCUGAUUAUAUGCACCCCCCUGGU